ACGCUCUUGCUGCGCGUGGGCCGCGCCAGUCUGCCGCACCGCCUCCCCUCCGUGUGGAGCUCACUGCUGCCACAGCGCCUCGCCUGCGCUUGGGUGCCGCCGGGGUCCCCUCGCCCAGUCCUCCGCUCCCUCACAAUUCUCUCCGUCUUGCUCCUGUUCUUGUUCUGCCGCCGCCACUAGAGACCUAGGGUUAGGGAUUCCUCGCCGCUCAUCAGACCAGCCCCUCCUUCUUCACUGGGGGAUUGGCCGCGCCUCUACCCAGCAGCGGGCUGCAGCCCGCGGAGGUGGCCCCUGGGUCGGCAGGUGGGGCGGACGAAUCUACUCGGCGGGCGACGCGCGUGGAGCCGCACGCGGCGCAACGCCAAGAGGUGGGGCGGUGGCGGGGGCCGGUGCCAUGCCAGUGAUGGGGCGGCUGCGAGGGCCACUGCGGAGCGGCACUACGGCGGUCCGAGGGUUCGUAGUCCAGGGGCGACGGAGACUUGGUGGAUCGGCCCACGCAGCGCUGGGCAUAUGGCACUCCUGCGGCCGGAGCAGCCGCGGCCGAUCCAACCCGCAGAUAGGUUCGUGCUCCGCCGUUAGCUGCUUUCCUAGGGUCUCCGAGGCGGGUUCGUGCUGCUGCUUCGGACGGACGCCGUUCACUGAUUGCCUGUGCUGACUGGAUCGGGUUCGUCCUGCUGCUGUUCGCCAUGUGUGAACAGAACAGAUGCCGCCUCCCUGACCGGGCUUCUCCGUCCUCGCCUCCAUCUGCAUCUCUGCUUCAGUUCUCCCCUCCCCCUGUUCCAGUUGCUCUCCCGGUUGAUUGCCCCCGCUGUCACCGCUGUGAACAUAUGUUUUGUUCAUCCGAUAGCCCGUUCUCCCUAAAAACCAAUUUUAGGAUGCCUACUCGCAUAAUUACAAGAUUUGGAUUAACAAGAUCACAAAGUGUGACUGUAUUGCUGAUUAGGAUAGGAAUCACCUGCGUGACCAUUAUUUGUCCAUAAAUAUUCCAAAUUGUUCCUAAUAAUUUCUUUGCUACCACUUUCUGGAUUACCCAUUCACCUCAAGGCAGCCUGUCUUGUGUCUUUCUGCUACAUGAAACAGGGACACACCACAUUUGGUUUGUCCCAGCAGUAAUGGUGUGGUAAUUUGUCUCAUGGGGCUUCAGCUUAUAUGUUUGUAGGUACCUUUGUGUUUUCUAUAUUUAAUCAAAACGUCUUUUCUGCAGAUUCAACAAGAGUACUCAGCAUAGAGAUAUUGUUUAGUACAAAAUAUCGAGGACCAUUUCUAUCCUGAUCUGGUAAUAAUACAUAAUCUCUAUCUUGAUCUGGUAAUAAUACAUAAUCGGUACAUCUAUUGUUCUAUGAGUGGAAGUCAACAUUUGCUACCCUAUAAAGUCUGCAUCCGUAUUUUCCUUCUAUUUAGUGGAUCAGAUUUCAAGGUUAUAUUUGUCCUUUGUCUUACAAAUUAAUUCCAGCCUUCGAAGUGGUACCUAACAAGUAAUCUACAAAGUGGUCAUCCCUAGGUCUACCAGUUCUAUAAGCAUUCAAGCAAAAAUUCUUUAGUUGUGGUUCAUUCUCAUGACAGGAAAAGAAAAAUGUUUGCAGGGAUGAAUCAUACUGCAUGGUCAGCAUAUCCUUCUGUUUGAUGGACUAAAUAAAUGACCCCAUGAUUCAUUUUUCUAACUUCUUUCUCCUCUUCUUGGUAGGGAAGUAAGCACAGUACUUUGUACUAAGAGCCUUUGAGAUGAUCAGAAUAAAGAAGAAACAACACUACAUCAUGGCAGCUGACAUCAGUUUUACUUGGGUGAACCUUCAGUGUAGAUGUACUUUUACGUCGUGCCUAUGCGAUAGUGCCGUACCUGGACAUUGGAUAUUAUGCUUUCAGAAUUUUGGUUGGCAUUCGUUAUUGGAUAUUAUGUUUUCUCAUAGUUAACCGAAUCAGUACACGCUGCCAACCAUUUGUUUGCUGGAUA